GGACAUUUGGCUCAGUGGUAGAGCACAUGCCUACCAUCCAUGAAGCAUUCGGUUGAAUCCUAGUACCCC
rnacentral:tRNA from 1 species